rnacentral:tRNA from 1 species
GCCUCAAUAGCUUAGUGGUAGAGCACUUGAUACAAAUGCCUCUUGCCGGACCUCGAAUAUUAUCAACAGGCCAGGGUUCGAAUCCCUGUUGAGGCU